rnacentral:misc_RNA from 1 species
UAUUCAUAUAAAAAAAAGUUCAUCGUGUAAAACUUCUUCCAAAAAUAACCAGGGCAUCAAAGCUCUAUUAUUCCAGAGCUUACUAAAAAAUACGCAAUAGUAAAGUGCUCCUAGCAUAAACUAUAAUUCCAACAACUAGAAUUGGCCGUUAACACUUAACAAAUUAUUCAAAGCCAUGUUUGCAAUUCAUAUAAUAUAAGUUUAUUAUCGUAAAACUUCAUUUCAGAUAGUAAAACUUCAUUUCAGAAAUUGGCACAGUUUGAAUGGAUCGAUUAGCAAUUUUCAAUCCUAUAAAACGCUGAUCCAUAACAUGCAAUUCCAAAGUGGCCAAACCAAAUCAAGCUAACCAAACUUCAUGAAACUUUGCUAAUUUGCACC